GACGAACGCUGGCGGCGUGCUUAACACAUGCAAGUGGAGCGACGAACCAGGGCUUGCCCUGGGGCAGAGCCGCGAACGGGUGAGUAACACGUGGGUAACGUGCCCCGAUGAUCGGGACAACCCGGGGAAACCCGGGCUAAUACCGAAUGUGCUCCCCUCACACCAGUGAGGGAUGGAAAGGAGCUUCGGCCUCCGCAUCGGGAUCGGCCCGCGGCCCAUUAGCUUGUUGGUGAGGUAACGGCUCACCAAGGCUGCGAUGGGUAGCUGGUCUGAGAGGACGAUCAGCCACACUGGGACUGAGACACGGCCCA
rnacentral:rRNA from 1 species